rnacentral:tRNA from 1 species
ACUUGAAUAGCUUAAUUAGAGCAUAACACUGAAGAUGUUGAGGAAAUUAGAUUAAUAGUUUUUAAGUA